rnacentral:rRNA from 1 species
AAAGCUCAAAUUUGUAAUCUGGCGUCUACGACGUCCGAGUUGUAAUCUCGAGAAGUGUUUUCCGUGAUAGACCGCAUACAAGUCUCUGGAACAGAGCGUCAUAGUGGUGAGAACCCAGUACACGAUGCGGAUGCCUAUUACUUUGUGAUACACUUUCGAAGAGUCGAGUUGUUUGGGAAUGCAGCUCAAAUUGGGUGGUAAAUUCCAUCUAAAGCUAAAUAUUGGCGAGAGACCGAUAGCGAACAAGUACCGUGAGGGAAAGAUGAAAAGCACUUUGGAAAGAGAGUUAACAGUACGUGAAAUUGUUGGAAGGGAAACACAUGCAGCCAGACUUGCUAUUCGGGGCAACUCGAUUGGCAGGCCCGCAUCAGUUUUUCGGGGCGGAAAAUCAUAGAGAGAAGGUAGCAAUUUCGGUUGUGUUAUAGCUCUUUAUUGGAUUCGCCCUGGGGGACUGAGGAACGCAGCGUGCUUUUAGCAUAAGCUUCGGCUUAUCCACGCUUAGGAUGCGGGUGUAAUGGCUGUAUAUGACCCGUC